rnacentral:rRNA from 1 species
UAGGGAAUCUUCCGCAAUGGACGCAAGUCUGACGGAGCAACGCCGCGUGAGUGAAGAAGGAUUUCGGUUCGUAAAACUCUGUUGUUAGAGAAGAACAGCGCAUAGAGUAACUGUUAUGCGUGUGACGGUAUCUAACCAGAAAGCCACGGCUAACUACGUGCCAGCAGCCGCGGUAAUACGUAGGUGGCAAGCGUUGUCCGGAUUUAUUGGGCGUAAAGCGAGCGCAGGCGGUCAAUUAAGUCUGAUGUGAAAGCCCCCGGCUCAACCGGGGAGGGUCAUUGGAAACUGGUUGACUUGAGUGCAGAAGAGGGGAGUGGAAUUCCAUGUGUAGCGGUGAAAUGCGUAGGUAUAUGGAGGAACACCAGUGGCGAAGGCGACUCUCUGGUCUGUAACUGACGCUGUGGCUCGAAAGCGUGGGUAGCAAACAGG